GAAGUACCAUCUAAAUGACAGGGAACAU
rnacentral:sRNA from 1 species